ensembl:lncRNA
CCCUCUUGACCGUCACUGUCCUAGUGGAGCCGCUUUAGACGAGUGGGCGGGGCUUCCGGGGAGACAGUAAUGGGCGGGGCUUGUGAGGAGCGAGGGACGGAUAAAGCGUUGAGUCUCAUUCAGGCUCUCUGUGCCCGGGUUAGUCUCUUCUCUCGGAGCACAAUGGUCAGUAAACGUGUCUCCGACGUGCCACUCUCAAUAAACUAAAAAAACAACAACCCGCCUCGUGCUGCUGUGCGCCGGACCCAUGUGUGGACUCGGAGCGCUGUGACAGGGCUGGGAGAGGGAGGAGAGUGUAUCCGUGUGGAGAACAGUGCUCUUGUGUAGGGUCGCGGCGCGCCAGGCGCCCUGAUGCUGCCAGGGAAAAAAAUCGCCAUUGUCCAACAAAAAGCGCUAGCUAGCAGCUAAAUCCCUGGCUUACACACUAGAAACAUGACUUCGACGCUGCCUCACGUCCUUUCCCUCCUCCUCCUCCUCCUCCUCAGCAUCCAGUCAGCUGCAGAGCGAGACAUGAAGCGAAAUGACAGAGGAACGGGAGGAUACGGCGAGGCGAGCCGCAGACCUCAUGCCCGAUCGGGAACGUUUCUGUAGGUUGAUUUAUAUUCUGUUAGAAAACUGGCGCUCAAGUGUCAUCUCAGAUGUCUCGGCAGAGGAAAAAAAGGCGCUAACAGAAAGCCAGUGUUUUGUUAUGAAACCUCUUUCAGCGAGGCGAAAGUACAUCGCGAUAAUGUGGGCUCGUUUAAAGGGUUACCUUAACUACAGACACUAGCUUGUGUUUAGCCUAAAAUAGUCGUGAAAAUACAAAAAAUAUCUAUGUCGGGGACAGAAGAAAUUAGGUUGAUUUUUUUUUUUGAAGAGAAAAGGUUGGAGAAGAAGUUAACAUUGAACCUUUGUGAUGUUCAGUGUCCAUUUUAAUUCUCCAUAUGGUACGUUCAGGUAUUUAUUUGAUAUUUUAGCAUUGACACUAGUGACUACAGCAGUGUAAUUACACAGUUAUGACAUCAUCAUGCUCAUCUGUUAUAGAUCUUCUGUAGUAUAGCUAUUAUAGAUCUGUACUACCUCAUAGUGUUCACUACCUCAUAGAUGCGUUCUAUUACCUCAUAGUGUUCACUACCUCA